CCUACGGGUGGCAGCAGUCGAGAAUCAUUCACAAUGGGGGAAACCCUGAUGGUGCGACGCCGCGUGGGGGAAUGAAUGUCUUCGGACUGUAAACUCUAGUCAUGUGGGAGAAAAUUACAAUGAUUGUACCACAAGAGGCAGAUACGGCUAACUCUGUGCCAGCAGCCGCGGGAAUACAGAGGUCUCAAGCGUUGUUCGGAUUUAGUGGGGGUAAAGUGUGCGUAGGCUGCUUCGUGAGGCGUGUGUGAAAGGCGCGGGCUCAACCCGCGAACGGCAUCUGAGACUGUGAGACUAGAGUAGAGGAGGGGUAAGCGGAAUUCUCGGUGUAGCAGUGAAAUGCGUAGAUA
rnacentral:rRNA from 1 species